GGAGGAUGUUGGAGGUAUGCCCUAGAGGCAAUCAUAGAGAUGAUGAUAUUCCAUUUGUAUCCAUGAUUUGUACAUUGUGUUCAUUGAAUAUCCAUUAAAGGCUACUUGAAUUGAUUUGCAAUUAUGUAAAUUGUAUGUGAAACUCUUUACUUGUAUGGUUAUUCUAAAGUUGUCCCUAAUCGGAGUUCAUGUGAGAACACACAUGAAUAUUAGACUAGCACAUGUAUUAGUUGAUGACUAUGUUUCACAAGUCAUGGACAUGGAAAUGUUGAACUAAUAAUGUGGACACAUGUGGAGACAUGUGCUAGGACUGACCCAACACGAGAAGUAGUUCUCUCUUUAAACAACAUAUACGCUUUGUCCUUAGACAUGAGAUUGUC
rnacentral:lncRNA from 1 species